rnacentral:rRNA from 1 species
UACGUAGGGGGCAAGCGUUGUCCGGAAUCAUUGGGCGUAAAGCGCGUGUAGGCGGCCCGGUAAGUCCGCUGUGAAAGUCGGGGGCUCAACCCUCGAAUGCCGGUGGAUACUGUCGGGCUAGAGUGCGGAAGAGGCGAGUGGAAUUCCUGGUGUAGCGGUGAAAUGCGUAGAUAUCUGGAGGAACACCGGUGGCGAAGGCGGCAUCCUGGACCAAUAUUGACGCUGAGGAGCGAAAGCCAGGGGAGCAAACGGG